rnacentral:rRNA from 1 species
AGUAGCGGCGAGCGAACACGGAAGAGCCCAGCGCUGAAUCCCCGGGUCGGCUCGGCCCGCGGGAAAUGUAGCGUUAGGGAGCGUCCGUUAACUCGGGUGCGCGCGGCUAGCUCAAGUCUCCCUUGAACGGUGCCAUAAUCCAUAGAGGGUGCCAGGCCCGUACGGCGGCUGCCGCGCCCGAGUGGGCGUCUCCUGGGAGUCGGUCUGUUUGAGAACGCAGACCUAAGUGGGUGGUAAACUCCAUCUAAGGCUAAAUACGACCACGAGACCGAUAGCGCACAAGUACCGUGAGGGAAAGGUGAAAAGAACUUUGAAGAGAGAGUUCAAGAGUACGUGAAACUGGAGAGGUGAAAACGGAUGUGGCUGGAAAUUCCGAACGGCGGUGUUCAGUCUCACCGAUCUUCCGGGCCUCCCGUCCGCUGAGAUUCAAGGGUCCUCGCCGGCGUGCGGCCGCUCCUCGUGGGCGGUCGUCGCGUCGCCUGGUCCCCUCUCGGGCGGGUUUAAAUUAGUGUCCGGGGCGGUGUGGAUGCACUCGCCGCCGUAGUAGGAUGUCGCGACUCGUUGGGUGUCGGUCGUGAGGCUCGUCCAGGAGCCCGGUGUCCGCGCGUCGUGCACCUCUGAGGAGAAACGCACGCAGUACGGCCCGGACUGGUUCGGUGUCCUCUCCGACUGCCCGACGGUAUCGAAAGCGAGUCGGCGCCCGUGCCCGCUGCCAAACGUCCCUUGCUCGUCUCGGGACAGGCUGGGUCAGCGCGCCGACUGUCUGCGGCAUUGCCUGAUUCGGGUCCACAUCUGACCCGUCUUGAAACACGGACCAAGGAGCGUAACACAUGCGCGAGUCGAAGGGUGCUACUAAACCCGUAGGCGGAGCGAAAGCAUAAGGGACGAUGGCAUACUUGUCGUGCUCUCGUCGGGUUCGUCCCGGCGAUUCCGGCAGGCCCGCAGUCCCGGGGCACCUCAUACGGCUCUGCGGUUUACGCGGUUUCGGCCGUAUCGCCGCUGAGUCGAGGCGCACCUGUGAGCGUAUGUGUUGUUACCCGAAAGAUGGUGAACUAUGCCUGGCCAGGAUGAAGCCAGGGGAAACCCUGGUGGAAGUCCGUAGCGAUUCUGACGUGCAAAUCGAUCGUCGGAGCUGGGUAUAGGGGCGAAAGACUAAUCGAACCAUCUAGUAGCUGGUUCCCUCCGAAGUUUCCCUCAGGAUAGCUGGCGCUCGGAGGAUAUGAGAAACGGAUGACGAGUCUCAUCCGGUAAAGCGAAUGAUUAGAGGCCUUGGGGCCGAAACGACCUCAACCUAUUCUCAAACUUUAAAUGGGUGAGAACCCCGGCUUGCUUGAGACCGGUGUGCUCCGCGGUCGUCAUCCUGUAACCCCUUCAUCGGGGCCAGGUGCGUCGCGGGUCCCGGAAUUUCGUGAAGCUCGGGGCAGAUGAUGCAAAGAAGUCUGAAACACGGAUCAAUGAGUGCCAAGUGGGCCNAUUUUGGUAAGCAGAACUGGCGCUGUGGGAUGAACCAAACGCAGAGUUAAAGCGCCUAAGUGGACGCUCAUGGGAGACCAUGAAAGGUGUUGGUUGCUUAAGACAGCAGGACGGUGGCCAUGGAAGUCGGAUCCGCUAAGGAGUGUGUAACACUCACCUGCCGAAGCACUAGCCCUUAAAUGGAUGGCGCUAAAGCGUCCCGCUUAUACUCUGCCGCGGGCGGCAAAGCGGCCGGUAAGGCGGACGGCCCUCGCUUCGCACGAGGAACCGGCCCGAGCCUUGAGGCCCCGUGAGUAGGAGGUGCGCACCGCUGAGCGUAAAAGGGUCUUGGGCGUGAGCCUGCCUGAAGCCGCCGGUGGUGCAGAUCUUGGUGGUAGUAGCAAAUACUCCAGAGAGGGCCCUGGAGGGCUGAUGCGGAGAAGGGUUCCGUGUGAACAGCUGUUGCACACGGGUCAGUCGAUCCUAAGCCCUAGGAUAACUCCUAUGUGCGAUGUGCGGGUAGUAUCGAGAGAGAAACUCCCGUCGCUGGGCGAAAGGGAAUCAGGUUCCUAUUCCUGAACCCAGAUGCGGUACCGUUCCACCGGGCUUGUCUCGAAGCCGGGCCAGCGCUCCUUCCUCUGCGUCGGUGUCGUUGCGCUCGUGCCUAGGGCGAACUCGUCGGGGUAACCCGAACAGUCGCGGAGAAGCCGGCCGGAGCCCCCGGAAGAGUUGUCUUUUCUGUAUUACCGUGCAAGUUCCCUGGAAUUCCAUUGCGGAGAGAGAGGGAAUAGCGCGGGAAGAGCACCGCACUUGCGGCGGUGUCGGGGGUGCCCGCUCGGACCAUGAAAAUCCGCGUGAGGGCCACGGAGAACAACCGAUCUGGCUCGUACCCAUAUCCGCAGCCGGU